AAAAAUCAGUGUGAAAUUUGAGAAUAAUUGUUAAAAAUUCUGAUUUUGCAAGGAAGAUCCAUUGAAGACUUUUAGAUUGUUAUUGCAAGCUGUCUAUUGUAUUAGACAGUCUCAACAGUAUUUACAUACUUCAGUUUCCUUAAUUAACAUCUCUUUUUUUUUUUUUUAAAACCUAGUUGAGUUAGCAGUUGUGGUAUUAGUGACAGGUUUACUAGUGGGUAAAAAGAAAGCAGCUGGUAUACAAAUGCAACUUAAUGGGGCCUCAGCUAUUUUUUAUACAGUGAUAUAUGUGAGAAGUUCUGACUAUUAGUUUUAACAAAUAUAUGCUGUUUUAGAUUCUUUGCAUUGAUUUCUCACAGCUUUUUUUUGGACUGGUGACAGCUUACCAGUGUAGGAUUUCUGCUUGGUUGUCUUCCUGUGGGCUUUCAGGAAGUGGUGUACAUUACGUGGGGCAUGGUUUCCUGUGGAAUAUUGCUUAACCCAGUUCCCUUGUGUGUGUGUUUUUAUGCAAAUACUGUCUUAUUCUGGUUUGGCCCUGACUUACUUGAAAUGUUUCUUCAAAAUUGGCAAAUAACAUUGCAUUCAAGGUUCUCUGGUUAUUGCUGCCUUUAAACAGGAGAUGCACACCAUUAGCCAGACUGUCAUCCUGAAUAGUCCAUCUGACAUAAAUCAGGUGACAAAGAAUUCCCUCAUAAAAACUAAUUCUUGAAAUCUCCUGAACAGUACGAUUAUUGUUAUAUACCCAAAAUUGUAAGAACGAAGAAAUCUUAUAUCUCUUAAGUUCUGGGGAAAAGGAUAAGGUAGGAGCUGAUCUUCCUUGCCAAAUUAAGUAUAUAAAAAAAAACAAACAAAAAAACCCCUUUUUAUGUUGAACAAAGUUGUUUGUCUUUUUCUUGUGGCUGUGUAGGGGGUGUGUUGCGUACAGAUCAAACUGUAAGGAAUAGUGCUUUUUGUCCCUAUUAUCUCCUUCCCACCCCACAUGAACCUGCCAAAGCAAAACAGAUCUCCAGCCUAUCAGCCCAUGUGACCAUCUAUGCCAGAUUCUGUCUCCAGUGGGUGGGACGUUCUGUUAUACAACCACCAUCUGCACCUUCUAGAACUGGAGGGACUUAGAAAACUAAUUCAUGUCGAUUUCUGCCUCAAAUAGACAUUACCAGUUUCUGAGACACUAAGGGAAGGGUCAGAUUUGUGUUUUGUUUUCAAAAAGCUAAGUUUGCAGUAGAGCUUGGAUCAAUUAAUCUAUUGGCUUUUU